AAUAGAUACCCCGGUAGUCCACGCCGUAAACGAUGAGUGCUAAGUGUUAGAGGGUUUCCGCCCUUUAGUGCUGCAGCUAACGCAUUAAGCACUCCGCCUGGGGAGUACGGUCGCAAGACUGAAACUCAAAGGAAUUGACGGGGGCCCGCACAAGCGGUGGAGCAUGUGGUUUAAUUCGAAGCAACGCGAAGAACCUUACCAGGUCUUGACAUCCUCUGACAACUCUAGAGAUAGAGCGUUCCCCUUCGGGGGACAGAGUGACAGGUGGUGCAUGGUUGUCGUCAGCUCGUGUCGUGAGAUGUUGGGUUAAGUCCCGCAACGAGCGCAACCCUUGAUCUUAGUUGCCAGCAUUAAGUUGGGCACUCUAAGGUGACUGCCGGUGACAAACCGGAGGAAGGUGGGGAUGACGUCAAAUCAUCAUGCCCCUUAUGACCUGGGCUACACACGUGCUACAAUGGAUGGUACAAAGGGCUGCAAGACCGCGAGGUCAAGCCAAUCCCAUAAAACCAUUCUCAGUUCGGAUUGUAGG
rnacentral:rRNA from 1 species